GCUGAUAGGGCUGCUGAGCAGGCUACUGUGAUAUAGUGGUGGUGAGAUUUAUCUUCGUCGGUA
rnacentral:tRNA from 1 species